ACAAAGUUUUAUUCUUGCUUGGAUAUUUAUUUUAACAUUAUUAUAUAUGUAAGUUUUUGCAUUAUUUAUUAAUUUUUCUUAAAGGAUUUUUAAUUUGUUGUUUGCAGUAUGAAAUAUUAUGAAUUUAAGUAAUUUUGAUUUAGUAAUUGUUAAUAAAUAUUGAUAAAACAUGUGCCAGCAGUCGCGGUUAUACAUGAAAUAUAAGUAAAUAUUAUCAGUUAAAAUAGUUAAUUUGUUUUAUUUUUGAAUUUUGAUUGAUUAUUAUUGGGUGAAAUAUUUAAUAUUUGAUUUAGAUUUAUUUUUUAUUUAAUGAAGCUGUGAAAUCUAAAUUAUAUAAACUAGGAUUAGAUACCCUAUUAUUUUGGAUGUAAAGUAUUUAAACUUGAGUAGUAGUAGUUAAGGACUUGAAACUUAAAGAAUUUGGCGGUAUUUUAGUCUAUUUAGAGGAAUCUGUCCCGUAAUCGAUAACCCGCGUUGGACCUAACUUAAUUUAUUAAAUAUGUAUACCGCCGUUGUUGAAAAUCUUUUUAGAGUGUAAUUUUUAAAAAAUUUAUUGAAUAAUCUUUCAGGUCAAGGUGCAGUUUAUAAUUAAGUGGAGAUGGAUUACAAUAUUUUAUAGUAUAUGGAUUAUUCUUUGUAAUCUUAAGAAUAUGAAGGUGGAUUUAAUAGUAAUUUUUUGAAGAUUGUUAAUUUGACUUUGGCUCUAAAAUAUGCACACAUCGCCCGUCGCUCUCGUUAUAUUUAAGAUGAGAUAAGUCGUAACAUAGUAGUUGUACCGGAAGGUGUAACUAGAAUGUAU
rnacentral:ncRNA from 1 species